CCUACGGGUGGCAGCAGUGAGGAAUAUUGGUCAAUGGGCGGGAGCCUGAACCAGCCAAGCCGCGUGAGUGAAGACGGUCCUAUGGAUUGUAAACCUCUUUAGGCGGGGAGCAAUGCCGGGCACGCGUGCCCGGAGGGAGAGUACCCGCAGAAUAAGCAUCGGCUAACUCCGUGCCAGCAGCCGCGGUAAUACGUAGGAUGCGAGCGUGUUCGGGAUGUAUUGGGUUAAAAGGGUGCGUAGGCGGAUAUUUAAGUCAGCGGUAAAAUGUCCGGGCUCAACCCGGGACGGCAGUUGAAACUGGGGAUCGUGAGUGGGGGAGAAGUAUGCGGAAUGCGUGGUGUAGCGGUGAAAUGCAUAGAUA
rnacentral:rRNA from 1 species